rnacentral:rRNA from 1 species
GACGAACGCUGGCGGCGUGCUUAACACAUGCAAGUCGAGCGGUAAGGCCCUUUCGGGGGUACACGAGCGGCGAACGGGUGAGUAACACGUGGGUGACCUGCCCUCAGCUCUGGGAUAAGCCUGGGAAACUGGGUCUAAUACCGGAUAUGACUCCAUGACGCAUGUUGUGGGGUGGAAAGCCUUGUGCGGCUGAGGAUGGGCCCGCGGCCUAUCAGCUUGUUGGUGGGGUGANGGCCUACCAAGGCGACGACGGGUAGCCGGCCUGAGAGGGCGACCGGCCACACUGGGACUGAGACACGGCCCAGACUCCUACGGGAGGCAGCAGUGGGGAAUCUUGCGCAAUGGGCGAAAGCCUGACGCAGCGACGCCGCGUGAGGGAUGACGGCCUC